AACUAACGCUGGCGGCGCGUCUUAAACAUGCAAGUCGAGCGGUAAGGCCCGCAAGGGUACACGAGCGGCAAACGGGUGAGUAACACGUAGGUAACUUCCCCUUCAGUGGAGGACAACCUGUAGAAAUGCAGGCUAAUACUCCAUACUCUCGGUUUCCCCACGGGGAAGCCGACGAAAGUAGCAAUACGCUGAGGGAUGGACCUGCGGCUGAUUAGCUUGUUGGCGGGGUAACGGCCCACCAAGGCGACGAUCAGUAGCCGGCCUGAGAGGGUGUACGGCCACACUGGGACUGAGACACGGCCCAGACUCCUACGGGAGGCAGCAGUUAAGAAUCUUGUGCAAGUGGGACGAAACGCCUGAACACAAGCGACGCCGCGUGCGCGAUGAAGG
rnacentral:rRNA from 1 species